GAUGAACGCUGGCGGCGUGCCUAAUACAUGCAAGUCGAGCGAACGGACGAGAAGCUUGCUUCUCUGAUGUUAGCGGCGGACGGGUGAGUAACACGUGGAUAACCUACCUAUAAGACUGGGAUAACUUCGGGAAACCGGAGCUAAUAACGGAGGAUAUUUUGAACCGCAUGGUUCAAAAGUGAAAGACGGUCUGGGUGUCACUUAGAGAUGGAUCCGCGCUGCAUUAGCUAGUUGGUAAGGUAACGGCUUACCAAGGCAACGAUGCAUAGCCGACCUGAGAGGGUGAUCGGCCACACUGGAACUGAGACACGGUCCAGACUCCUACGGGAGGCAGCAGUAGGGAAUCUUCCGCAAUGGGCGCAAGCCUGACGGAGCAACGCCGCGUGAGUGAUGAAGGUCUUCGGAUCGUAAAACUCUGUUAUUAGGGAAGAACAUCUGUGUAAGUAACUGUGCCCAUCUUGACGGUACCUAAUCAGAAAGCCCCGGCUAACUACGUG
rnacentral:rRNA from 1 species